GCAGAUUACUAGAACUCACGUGAGACACUAAGGUUUGCAAAAAUCAAACAUACUGUCUCAUCCCAAAUUUAGGCUUCCAUGCCACAAUUUCUAAUUUAUGCUCCCAAACCACAUUUUCAUUAAUUUUCCUAAUUUUAUAGUAUGACAUAUUAUUCAGAUUGUUAUUGAAAAUUCAAAACUGUCGUCUGUCCCCACUGCAAAUGAUAAUAAUUUUUCAAAUUAAAUGUCACAGAUCAACGAACAAUAGGCAAUAAACCAAAUGUUAGUUACCUAGUUUAAUUUUGUAUUUAUCCUAUCACUUUUUU
rnacentral:misc_RNA from 1 species